rnacentral:rRNA from 1 species
GUAGCGAUACAUGGAGCGGACUAGUACUAAUCGGUCGAGGACUUAACCAAG